CUAAUAGACGAGCUGUGGCUGAAAGGCAGCAGUAGCUGAAUGCAGAGGCACAAGCCAUUCACACACAAUCGCUGAGUUGAGAUUCCCAAAGAGAAAGGAAAAAAAGGAAGUAGCUCCUUUGAGCCUGCAAAGUAUGACUGUCUCAUUUUAUACCCUUUAUAUUUUUUUUGUGUUAGCAGUCACGAAACCGUUGCAUGCUCGCCUUCACAAAUUCCCAACAAAUCACGGAAUCCAUGACUAGCAGCUUGUUUGGCUCAUCCAUGAGUGCUGCUGAAAUGGAGCAGGAGUGGGUGCUGGAAUCGAGCUUCCCGCCUUCACGGCGGCACGGCAAGCCUUGCCAAAAGCAGCUCGAGAAGCAGGGAACAAAACCACCGUAUUUUUAUGCAGCAGAUGCACAGAGCGUGCGUCUGUCCCUGUUAAAGCACACGGACGAGGCACGGCCUGGCGCGUGCGAGCUGUGCCAGCAGGAGCACCCCGGGAGCAAAUCCAGCUCCAGAGGGGCCACACGCCCCCCGACUCCUUGUUUUGCGACCUGGCCUGACGCGUGCCGAGCUCUGUGUCGUUUCCGUGCCGCAUGGGAGCAUUGGGUCCUGGAUGUAGGAAAUAUGAAUGACUGGCAGAGAAAAAGCCCUCUAGACUGGGAAACGUAUGUGAACAAGUUGGUGAAAGUUGUUGCAGUUGAGAAAUAUGAAUACGAAGGAUGGCUUUUAACAGUUGACCCAGUUUCUGCCACCAUUGUCCUCGCAACAUUCCCAGAGAACGAGAAAGGAUCCUUGUCAUUCAUCAUGGGCCACGCUGUCCAAGAGGUGGAGAUCCUGCAGGAAGGGGACAGUGACAUGAAGCAGCGCCUCGCUCGCAUCCUUGCGCCCGAGGAAAGCCAAGCCUACAGCGCGGAGGAGCUGGAGAAGAGGAAGAACGCCUUGAAGACGUGGCUGGAGACAAACCACAUCCCUGUGGGCGAGCAGGGCGAGCUGGGCAGGACGCUGAGCGUGGCGGGCGUGCUGACCAUCGAGCCCCCGUACGGCCCCGAGCAGUGCAGCAGCACCAACGAGAUCAUCCUGUGCCGCGUGCAGGGCCUGCUGCAGCGCUUCCUGCAGCAGCAGCAAAGCUGAGGGCUGCUGCAGCGCUACCUGCAGCAACAGCACUGAGGGCUGCUGCAAUGCUACCUGCAGCAACAGCACUGAGGGCUGCUGCAGCGCUACCUGCAGCAGCAGUGCUGCUGAGGACUUCCAUCUCCUGGAGCUCUCCUGCUUUAGGAACUGUC